CAAGAAAGUUUUAAUUGUUCGUUCAUCGUUAAAUGGCAAUUUUAUUUCGCCUUCUUUCGUGUAGUUAGGGGAACAUGGUGUAACUCGCACCAUAAGAACUAUUCAAGCUGAUGCAUUUUCCCCUCACAACUUUCGUGAAACUUUUUCAUGCGAUACUUAAGUGUAUACAGUGUUCUACAAAUACCAAAAUCAAUUGUAUGUUUAUACUCUAUGAUAAGAGCCUACCCCCUCUCUUUACGCCCUCUAUAAAGCAUCAUCAAAUGUAAGAUUUGAUAUCAUCGAAUGAUUAAAAAAAACGAGCAGUGUUCUCAGUUUCUUCAUACUUGGCGCGGGUCUGUUUUUUUUUAAGCACCAUCGAUGAAGAGUUCGACUGAACACUUUGCAGAUCUUUGCAUAUCACCACAAAAUUAGGGAUACCAGUAUAUAGCAUUGUUAUAAUUCAACCAU
rnacentral:lncRNA from 1 species